GUUGUGUUAAAAGAUUUGGAAGACCUGAGACUUGGAGUAAGGGAGAUGCCUUCCCCCAGCAUCUAAGGACUGAGGGUGGUUAUGCCACAUAGAAGGUGGCAUACAAGAAAGUAUGGAAGUGUAUGUGGGAGAGAUGGACUAAUGAGCAGUGAAGGCUGGAGACACAAAUUGAUCACAGGAUAAGAAAGGACACUUUCAAAAAUCCAAAUCUAUGAUCAGCCAGAAAACAACUGAGGACCAUGCAACCCUUGAAGAUAGAAAUAAAUGAAAUGUCUCUAAACAGCUGAAAACCAACUUACUAACUUAUGGGAGUGAUAACCCAGCUUUGAAUUUGAUUUAGUUAGUGAUAAAGUACUCUGGUAAUCUUGAAAAAAAAUAUUACAGAACAUAGAGAACUGAAGUUCUCAGUAGGAUGUAAAAAAAACCCAACAGGCAUAAAUAUGACAGAUUGUGAGGCUAAAUGAUUAUGUGACUUGGAGAAUUUGCUGCAGUCAGAACUCUGUGAUAUAAUAAACUGAUA